rnacentral:rRNA from 1 species
UGCGGCCGUAACUCCGGUUGAUCCUGCCGGACCCGACCGCUAUCGGGGUGGGACUAAGCCAUGGGAGUCGUACGCCCCGCCGCUGCGGGGCGUGGCGGACGGCUGAGUAACAC